rnacentral:tRNA from 1 species
GCGGAAGUGGCGGAAUACGCACCCGCAAAGGAUUUAGGUUCUGGCGCCGCAAGGUGUGAGAGUUCAAGUCUCUCUUUCCGCACCA